GGAGAUUUCCUCACAGACACCUUGGCAGAACCAGCUCGCCCCACCAGGGGCUCAGCACAGGGGACUCUUAUGCGUGGCACCAACCCCUUCCCAACAGGCUCUUGGGGAUUUGCUGUUCUGGUUGGAGACGGGAACCUGGGACCCAGAGAGAAAGGAUGUGGUUCCCUCCCUGCACAGACUUGCAGGUAAGAAGAGGAAAAUGCAUGCAUCUGCAGGAAGAAAGGUGGAUGCUGAGAAGAGAGGGACUUCCUGGUGAUGACAGGGGGGGAGUCCCCUGCCACCUCUAAGACCUUCUGGCCUCCUGGCCCUGAACAGGACGGCACUCACCCCUGGAAGCGUCUUCUGUUCGUGCAGGGCACUCUGGGCCUUCAGGGCUGAAUCGCGGGCACACCCUGGGUGAGACAGUCCUUCUUUCUACUGCUUGAUUCCAUACUGACCACCUGCCAUCCUUCCUUAACCUGGGUUUUUGUGUCCUGAAGCUACAUUCUGACAGAUCUGCCGCCCUGAGGCUCACUCAGGCUUGGACCUAAUCAUAUUAAUUGAAAUAUUAAACAUUCA